rnacentral:piRNA from 1 species
UGACACAAAAGGCAUUUUCAAAGAGAAAU